rnacentral:rRNA from 1 species
CAUUACCGAGUGAGGGCCCUCUGGGUCCAACCUCCCACCCGUGUUUAUCGUACCUUGUUGCUUCGGCGGGCCCGCCUCACGGCCGCCGGGGGGCAUCCGCCCCCGGGCCCGCGCCCGCCGAAGACACCAUUGAACUCUGUCUGAAGAUUGCAGUCUGAGCGAUUAGCUAAAUCAGUUAAAACUUUCAACAACGGAUCUCUUGGUUCCGGCAUCGAUGAAGAACGCAGCGAAAUGCGAUACGUAAUGUGAAUUGCAGAAUUCAGUGAAUCAUCGAGUCUUUGAACGCACAUUGCGCCCCCUGGUAUUCCGGGGGGCAUGCCUGUCCGAGCGUCAUUGCUGCCCUCAAGCACGGCUUGUGUGUUGGGCCCCGCCCCCCGGUUCCGGGGGGCGGGCCCGAAAGGCAGCGGCGGCACCGCGUCCGGUCCUCGAGCGUAUGGGGCUUUGUCACCCGCUCUGUAGGCCCGGCCGGCGCCCGCCGGCGACCCCAAAUCAAUCUAUCCAGGUUGACCUCGGAUCAGGUAGGGAUACCCGCUGAACUUAAGCAUAUCA